ensembl:lncRNA
AUGUUUGUUUUAUUUUUCAAGUCCAGUACAAAGAUCCCUUGUCAAGGAAAGCUCUUUCGGGCCUCCCUCACCCCACGAACCCUCCCACCCAUCUCGCUCACUAUGGUGUGCGUUCCACACAGCACAGAUUGUGCACUCUUCAUCUUUGCGCCUCCGCCUUCCAACACAGUGCUCUUCAAACACCCGGCGCUCUACAUUUACCAAUUAGCCACAUUUACCGGCGCUGAGAAGUCCGCGCCGUUCAGGUGCACCUCCACCGGGGCCAGCCGAUUGCCCGCCGGAAGUGACGCACCCUCGGGGCCCACGUACUUCCUCUACAGGGUGCCGCCUUCGCUGCCGCCGCGGCAGGGGUACGGGUUUCUCUGGCCGGCCAACUCAGCUGCCCUGGAGGAUUCGUGCAUGAUUGAUAAGGUACCUCUGAUGAAGCCAUGACAAGGUGGGCACGAGUUACGACCACACAGAACAGAAGACCCUUCCCUGCAACAUCAUGGGAGGACAUGAAGAAGGGAUCCCUUGAGGGGAAAAGCCAAAGCCCACCAAGGAGUAAACAACUUGAAGCCAACAGGCUGUCUCUUAAAAAGGACUCACCUCAAGCAAAACACAAAAAGAAUAAAAAGAAAAAGGAGUAUUUAAAUGAAGAUGUGAAUGGAUUCAUGGAGUACCUAAGACAGAACUCACAGAUGGUUCACAAUGGGGAGGAGAUAGCAGACAGUCAGGAAGUAAGGCAAGAAAUUGCACUUGCUUUAAAGAAGGACAGUCGCCGGGAGGGCAGGCGAUUAAAACGACAAGCAGCAAAGAAAAAUGCAAUGCUCUUUUUCAAGCAGUCACUAAAAAAAAAAAAAAAAAAAAAAAAAAAAAAAAAAAAUCCAAAUAAGGGGGGAGGCUAAGUAUGUUUCCAUUGCAGACAACCUGGCCAUGGGAUUGCAGAUUGCCCUGCUGCCCUUGAAAAUCAAGAAAUGGGCACUGGAAUAUGCUAUCGGUGUGGAUCCACAGAGCACGAAAUAACCAAGUGCAAGGCUCAAGUAGACCCAGCUCUUGGUGAAUUUCCUUUUGCAAAAUGUUUCGUUUGUGGGGAAAUGGGACAUCUAUCCAGAUCUUGUCCUGAUAAUCCCAAAGGACUCUAUGCUGAUGGUGGUUGCUGCAGACUUUGUGGCUCUGUGGAACAUUUUAAGAAAGACUGCCCGGAAAGUAAGAAUUCAGAUCAAAUGGUCACAGUUGGUCGCUGGGCAAAGGGAAUGAGUGCAGACUAUGAAGAAAUUUUGGAUGUGCCUAAACCACAGAAACCCAAAACAAAGCUACCUAAAGUUGUUAACUUUUGAUAAUGACUGGUACUGUUGUUAGCUGCCACUUCUUUGGUAAACAUUCUGAAUUGGGCUUACUUCACAAAUUGGAGCUAGACUCUCUCUUGGAGGCGGCUUGUAUUAUCGAUAUCAGUAUAAGCUGGGUGGGGUCAGGUUGUUCCCUGAGUUCUGUCCAUUGACGAGUACUUCUCCCACUGUUUGGGGAAAAUGGCUGAAAAAAAGUAUAAAAUGUUCAAGUUGGAUUCUCUAAAAGUAUAUAUUUUUAACAGAUAAAACUUAGGUGUAACUAAGUGGUUAUAUACCUGAUUGUAACAAUCACCUUUUUCUUAAAAAUUAAAUUAUGCAUUAAUAUGAACCAUCCCUAAAUAUAGGGUAACUGCUUUGUACUUGGAAAUGAAUUUUUGCCGACAUAAUUUUCUUCAUUCAAAGUAUCAAUUUAUUAUUAUAUUAGAAUUUAUAAUUGCUAUAAAAUCUGUAUUUUAAAAAUAUUUAAUAAAAACGCGUUUGCU